CAAUUAAAUCUAAUUAAACAAAUUAAAAAGUAACAUGAACUAAGAAAGGGAUUAGGUUACGCUGAAAGUGAUUGGAAUGUCUUCUUCUCCCUCUCUUCUCAACUCGGUACGGCGGACGGCGGCCGGACUCUCCCUCUCAUUUCGCGACCAGCGGCAAACGCCUCUCUCCUUCUUGUGAACGGCGGUGACGGUGGCUAUUCCCUUCUCUUCUCCGAUCAAAAGUCAACACCGCCGUACGUGGCCUCUCUCCCUCACGAGUACAAACGGCGCGACGGAGUUCUUCUCCGAUCCAAAUCCCAGGCAGCACCGCAACCAUACCUCCCGACGGCGGUGACUCUCUCUCAGUUUUCCAUCUCAGAUCCUUGUUCGGCUCAAGCAUCUUAUCACAAAUGAAGAAUAAAAAGUGUCUUAGAUCUUCAGAUUAUUGAUGUUGCAAUGAAGACGAAGUAUGAAGAUGAUUGAUGAUGUUGUUUACCGAUUGAAGAUUAUCGGAAGUUGAGGAUGAACAUGAUGCUGUUAUAAAAUUCCUGAAGAUGCAGCGUUGCUGAAGAUGAUGAACGUUGAGUGUUCUUGCCUCGAUGUGGUGAAUCUGAGAGGAGUGUUUGAUGCAGAAAUUGUUACGAUAAUGAAAUGAAGAUUCUGCAGAAAGAGAUCAAGAAUUUUUCUCAGUGAAUAUUUUUCUGUUCUCUUUUUCUUUGUGAAUUUUGGUAUGGUGAAGAUGAUUAUGGCGGUUAUUCACGGUUGAGGAAUCAAGAGAGAAGGUUGAGGAAUCAUUGAUGAAGAUUGUUGAUUGUGUUGAAGAUGAUCGAGAAAAGUUUGUUGAAGAUUCCAGAGUUUGUGAAGAAUUCUGAAGGUGAUUGAUGAAGAGGUUCGGUUGAGAGAGCAUGAAGGUCGAUGAUGAGAAACGGUUAUCGCUGCUAUGUGAAUCUGUUGUUGUUUUCCGAUGAAUCAGUGGUGAUGAGUGAAGAGAGUUUUUGGCGGUGAUGAGUGAAGAGAGUUUUUGGCGGUGAUGAGUGAAGAGAGUUGGUGAUACACGUUGCUGUUGAUUGAUGCAGGUUGCUGUUGAAGGAUUGAUGAUUCUGAAUUUCGUUUUUUCUGCAGAUUUUCGGAUGAAGAAAAUCGGUGAUGAAGUGAUGAUGUUAUACGUAUGAAGAAGAUGAAUUCUCAAGAUUGGAGAAGAUGAAGUUUUGGUGAUGGAUGAACACGGUUCAACGGGAGAACCAAGAGUUUGUUAUGAUUCCGUUAUCGGGUACCUCACUUGUGACUUGGCUCGUGGAACUUUGGCGCAACGCAGUUUCGAACUUGGAUUGGUUUCCUAGUGUCGGUCCUUUAGUGCAAGGCGGUUUGUUGUGCUUCCAGUGGUCAUUUGUGGGAGCUUUGCGGGCUUACGGUGCGGUUUCACGAAGAAGGAAUGAAAGGGAAUUGUCUUGAAGAAUUGAAGAAAGAAGUUAGGAUCCAUUUGACUUUAGUCAAAUGUGUAGUUUUAUUUGAUUUUCAAUUUUGUUGCUCGAAUAUAAUAUACCCUGCCUUCUUGUAAUGGACUCUGGAUCAAUGGAAACGUUGUUGGUUUCUUUGUUU